rnacentral:rRNA from 1 species
GGGUGAGUAAUGCAUCGGAAUGUACCGUGUAAUGGGGGAUAGCUCGGCGAAAGCCGGAUUAAUACCGCAUACGCCCUGAGGGGGAAAGUGGGGGACCGAAAGGCCUCACGUUAUACGAGCAGCCGAUGUCUGAUUAGCUAGUUGGUGGGGUAAAGGCUCACCAAGGCUUCGAUCAGUAGCGGGUCUGAGAGGAUGAUCCGCCACACUGGGACUGAGACACGGCCCAGACUCCUACGGGAGGCAGCAGUGGGGAAUUUUGGACAAUGGGCGCAAGCCUGAUCCAGCCAUGCCGCGUGUCUGAAGAAGGCCUUCGGGUUGUAAAGGACUUUUGUCCGGGAGCAAAUCCCAGUGGUUAAUACCUACUGGGGCUGAGAGUACCGGAAGAAUAAGCACCGGCUAACUACGUGCCAGCAGCCGCGGUAAUACGUAGGGUGCAAGCGUUAAUCGGAAUUACUGGGCGUAAAGCGUGCGCAGGCGGUUGUGCAAGUCUGAUGUGAAAGCCCCGGGCUUAACCUGGGAACGGCAUUGGAGACUGCACGACUAGAGUGCGUCAGAGGGGGGUAGAAUUCCGCGUGUAGCAGUGAAAUGCGUAGAGAUGCGGAGGAAUACCGAUGGCGAA